GAGCUUGCUCUUAUGAAGUUAGCGGCGGACGGGUGAGUAACACGUGGGUAACCUGCCCAUAAGACUGGGAUAACUCCGGGAAACCGGGGCUAAUACCGGAUAACAUUUUGAACCGCAUGGUUCGAAAUUGAAAGGCGGCUUCGGCUGUCACUUAUGGAUGGACCCGCGUCGCAUUAGCUAGUUGGUGAGGUAACGGCUCACCAAGGCAACGAUGCGUAGCCGACCUGAGAGGGUGAUCGGCCACACUGGGACUGAGACACGGCCCAGACUCCUACGGGAGGCAGCAGUAGGGAAUCUUCCGCAAUGGACGAAAGUCUGACGGAGCAACGCCCCGUGAGUGAUGAAGGCUUUCGGGUCGUAAAACUCUGUUGUUAGGGAAAGAACAAGUGCUAGUUGAAUAAGCUGGCACCUUGACGGUCCCUAACCGGAAAGCCACGGCUAAACUACGUGCCACCGGCCGCGGUAAUACGUAGGUGGCAAG
rnacentral:rRNA from 1 species